AAAGGGCCAAGGUAGCAAAAACUCAGAGGGCAGCAUGCAAUCAAGGAUUAAGUUCAGAUAAUUCAAACAUAAGGAGAGAACCUGGAAGUCAAGCGUUUCUCAGGAAAUUGCAACAGAAAAGUCUGUAGGCAGCCAAGUCGGGCCAGGUCCUCUGACUACUGUGGAAAUUGCAGGAACUUAAACUGCAGGAAAUUGAACAAGGGAGUGGAAGGGAUGCUUGGGUGAUUGAAGAGAUAGUUCAGACUUCCCAGGGAUCCAUCAUCAUUUGCAUAGCUGAUUAUGGUCAAGGAAAGACACCAAACUUGUAACUGCUCCUGCUUGAUCAACAUCUGGAAUCAUAACAGUCGUAGCCCUUUCUAGGAAAGGAGCACUUCAACAAUGACACAACCAAAUUGCAAGUACUGCAUUGGUUGCUUAUGUGUUUUUGGGUACAACUCAAAGUUCUAAUGUUAACAUACAUGGCUUGCUCUUUCUCCCCCUUUUCCUGUUUUCUCAAAACAAAAUAAACUUCUCCUCUGUUCAGUG